GAAAGAUGGCUUUGGCUAUCACUCUGGGAUGGACCUGCGGUGCAUUAGCUAGUUGGUAAGGUAACGGCUUACCAAGGCGAUGAUGCAUAGCCGAGUUGAGAGACUGAUCGGCCACAAUGGAACUGAGACACGGUCCAUACUCCUACGGGAGGCAGCAGUAGGGAAUCUUCCACAAUGGGCGCAAGCCUGAUGGAGCAACACCGCGUGAGUGAAGAAGGGUUUCGGCUCGUAAAGCUCUGUUGUUGGAGAAGAACGUGCGUGAGAGUAACUGUUCGCGCAGUGACGGUAUCCAACCAGAAAGUCACGGCUAACUACGUGCCAGCAGCCGCGGUAAUACGUAGGUGGCAAGCGUUAUCCGGAUUUAUUGGGCGUAAAGCGAGCGCAGGCGGUUGCUUAGGUCUGAUGUGAAAGCCUUCGGCUUAACCGAAGAAGUGCAUCGGAAACCGGGCGACUUGAGUGCAGAAGAGGACAGUGGAACUCCAUGUGUAGCGGUGGAAUGCGUAGAUAUAUGGAAGAACACCAGUGGCGAAGGCGGCUGUCUGGUCUGCAACUGACGCUGAGGCUCGAAAGCAUGGGUAGCGAACAGGAUUAGAUACCCUGGUAGUCCAUGCCGUAAACGAUGAGUGCUAGGUGUUGGAGGGUUUCCGCCCUUCA
rnacentral:rRNA from 1 species